rnacentral:antisense_RNA from 1 species
UGUGGGAGCGGGCUUGCCCGCGAUAGCGAUCUGACAGCCAACCGCUAUGUUGAAUGUCAGGACGUCAUCGCGGGCAAGCCCGCUCCCACA